rnacentral:rRNA from 1 species
ACGGGUGAGUAAUGUCUGGGGAUCUGCCCGAUAGAGGGGGAUAACCACUGGAAACGGUGGCUAAUACCGCAUAACGUCGCAAGACCAAAGAGGGGGACCUUCGGGCCUCUCACUAUCGGAUGAACCCAGAUGGGAUUAGCUAGUAGGCGGGGUAAUGGCCCACCUAGGCGACGAUCCCUAGCUGGUCUGAGAGGAUGACCAGCCACACUGGAACUGAGACACGGUCCAGACUCCUACGGGAGGCAGCAGUGGGGAAUAUUGCACAAUGGGCGCAAGCCUGAUACAGCCAUGCCGCGUGUAUGAAGAAGGCCUUCGGGUUGUAAAGUACUUUCAGCGGGGAGGAAGGCGACGGGGUUAAUAACCGCGUCGAUUGACGUUACCCGCAGAAGAAGCACCGGCUAACUCCGUGCCAGCAGCCGCGGUAAUACGGAGGGUGCAAGCGUUAAUCGGAAUUACUGGGCGUAAAGCGCACGCAGGCGGUCUGUUAAGUCAGAUGUGAAAUCCCCGGGCUUAACCUGGGAACUGCAUUUGAAACUGGCAGGCUUGAGUCUUGUAGAGGGGGGUAGAAUUCCAGGUGUAGCG